UCAACUUGCGAGCUGACCAGGAACUAAGUUGAUGCGCCGUUGAUCCGCUAGAUUUGGUUGGAUGCUGGUGGUGAGUUGCCGAACCCAACGAAUACAUUCUGAAGUCGGAUGGGGUGACGGAUUAGGGUGCCCCUCUAGCAGGGGAGAGCAGGGACUGCCCCGGGAAAGGGGGCCGCUGGCGAAGUUAACCACCCUGUAACAACAUACAUACAUACAUACUGCCACUCCGAGGUUGUAGGGUGCUGGAGAGCCGGGGGGAGGUGGGGUCGCUCGGACAGGGGAGGGGGGAGAUGGCGGUGAGAGCGCCAAAAGGACGUAGGUUUUCUGGUGUUUGGGAGGUUGAGGUCUGGUGGUGGUAGCGGGGCUCGGAUGAGGGGGAGGUGUGGCCCGAGGAGGGCCAUUCUAUUUAGACACGUCUUCUCUGUGGGACUGGGUUGCUUGGUGAGGGACGAAGGUGAGAGCGGUGCAGUACGAGACAGGGUGAAUAGGUUUCUGGAGGACUAACCGUUCAGGUUAGUGGCGGUAAGGGGGAGGCGCCGCGCGGGCUACAAUCCUCCCCCUGCGGUUUUCUGGAGGGUCUAGGAGCUGUGUGUCGUGGCAACGCAAACGCUUUGGUCGUUUCGCCGGACUAUCCCGGGCCCCUGCAGUGGUGAUCAGGCUCGUGCGGGAUCCCUUUUCUUUAUAAGGCUACUUCUCCCCUGGACCAGCCCAGGAAGGGACAGGUGGUGGAGGUCAGUUGUUUUAAGGUGGUUGCAAGACGUCUUGUGGUGUCGAGCUCUCUUAGCCUUUCUCUCUUGGAGGUUUUUUGUUGGCCUGUUAGGUAUAUCAGGAGCCCUCCCCUGCCGGGACUGCCCUAACCGAAUUUUUGUUUGUUUGUUUGUUUUCCCUUCGAAUCCCGUUUUCGUUGGUGGUGUUUUGGGGGGUUGUUUCAGAGAGCCUUUGACUUUGCCCUAGCUGAGACUUGUGGACUCGCUCUAGCGGGACCUGAGAGCCCUUCGUGGUGUAUUCAAUGCAGCGCCAUCCCCGGAUGGAGGGGCUGCGGAGUGGCUGCGUAG
rnacentral:lncRNA from 1 species